GACGAGCGCUGGCGGCGUGCUUAACACAUGCAAGUCGAACGGAAAGGCCCUGCUUUUGUGGGGUGCUCGAGUGGCGAACGGGUGAGUAACACGUGAGUAACCUGCCCUUGACUUUGGGAUAACUUCAGGAAACUGGGGCUAAUACCGGAUAGGAGCUCCUGCUGCAUGGUGGGGGUUGGAAAGUUUCGGCGGUUGGGGAUGGACUCGCGGCUUAUCAGCUUGUUGGUGGGGUAGUGGCUUACCAAGGCUUUGACGGGUAGCCGGCCUGAGAGGGUGACCGGCCACAUUGGGACUGAGAUACGGCCCAGACUCCUACGGGAGGCAGCAGUGGGGAAUAUUGCACAAUGGGCGGAAGCCUGAUGCAGCAACGCCGCGUGCGGGAUGACGGCCUUCGGGUUGUAAACCGCUUUCGCCUGUGACGAAGCGUGAGUGACGGUAAUGGGUAAAGAUGCACCGGCUAACUACGUG
rnacentral:rRNA from 1 species